rnacentral:rRNA from 1 species
GUCCCGCAACGAGCGCAACCCUCAUUUUUAGUUGCCUUAUGGAACUCUAGAAAGACUGCUGGUUAUAAACCGGAGGAAGGCGGGGAUGACGUCAAGUCAGCAUGCCCCUUACACCCUGGGCUACACACGUGCUACAAUGGGUGAGACAAUGAGAUGCAAAUCUGCGAAGACAAGCUAAUCUAUAAACUCACUCUAAGUUCGGAUUGUAGGCUGCAACUCGCCUGCAUGAAGUUGGAAUCGCUAGUAAUCGCUG